rnacentral:rRNA from 1 species
AACGAACGCUGGCGGCAUGCCUAACACAUGCAAGUCGAACGAGACCUUCGGGUCUAGUGGCGCACGGGUGCGUAACGCGUGGGAACCUGCCCUUAGGUUCGGAAUAACUCCCCGAAAGGGGUGCUAAUACCGGAUAAUGUCUUCGGACCAAAGAUUUAUCGCCUUUGGAUGGGCCCGCGUUGGAUUAGCUAGUUGGUAGGGUAAAAGCCUACCAAGGCGACGAUCCAUAGCUGGUCUGAGAGGAUGAUCAGCCACACUGGGACUGAGACACGGCCCAGACUCCUACGGGAGGCAGCAGUGGGGAAUAUUGGACAAUGGGCGAAAGCCUGAUCCAGCAAUGCCGCGUGAGUGAUGAAGGCCUUAGGGUUGUAAAGCUCUUUUACCCGGGAUGACAAUGACAGUACCGGGAGAAUAAGCUCCGGCUAACUCCGUG